rnacentral:rRNA from 2 species
UCCAUGCCGUAAACGAUGAAUACUAGGUGUUGGAGGGUUUCCGCCCUUCAGUGCCGCAGCUAACGCAUUAAGUAUUCCGCCUGGGGAGUACGACCGCAAGGUUGAAACUCAAAGGAAUUGACGGGGGCCCGCACAAGUGGUGGAGCAUGUGGUUUAAUUCGAUGCUACGCGAAGAACCUUACCAGCUCUUGACAUCUUCUGCCAACCCAAGAGAUUGGGCGUUCCCUUCGGGGACAGAAUGACAGGUGGUGCAUGGUUGUCGUCAGCUCGUGUCGUGAGAUGUUGGGUUAAGUCCCGCAACGAGCGCAACCCUUAUUAUUAGUUGCCAGCAUUUAGUUGGGCACUCUAGUGAGACUGCCGGUGAUAAACCGGAGGAAGGUGGGGACGACGUCAAAUCAUCAUGCCCCUUAUGAGCUGGGCUACACACGUGCUACAAUGGAUGGUACAACGAGUCGCGAAACCGCGAGGUCAAGCUAAUCUCUUAAAGCCAUUCUCAGUUCGGAUUGCAGGCUGCAACUCGCCUGCAUGAAGUUGGAAUCACUAGUAAUCGUGGAUCAGCAUGCCACGGUGAAUACGUUCCCGGGCCUUGUACACACCGCCCGUCACACCAUGAGAGUUUGUAACACCCAAA